CUGAGGUGACCAAGAGGCAGAAGAGCA
rnacentral:piRNA from 1 species